GGCAUAGCUUUGGCAGCCGGUGCCUGAGCCUUUGCUACUCCUGCUGCCGCCGUCGCCCCCCUCCUAAGGGGAAGGUCGCCCGUUCGAAUCGGGCCGGGGUCACCA
rnacentral:tRNA from 2 species